GCUGGAUCUAGACCUAAACCUCAACGAUAUACAUCAGCUGUUAAAUUUCUAGAAAAAUCGUUAGAGACGUUUUUGAGAUCAGCGUCCAAGUUCCUGUAGGCUCAAGCUUACAUAAAGCUCAUUGUUGACUACGUGGGUAUGGUGACGUGUAUAUGUAGAACUAAUGCCUUUCGUGUAAUAGGCCUGCAGUUUGAUGAACUUCAUCGCCUCUCAUCACUCCAGUGUGUCUGUUUAUUUACAAGGACACCUUAGCGCUAGCAUUCAACUAAUGUUUCUUCUGUCACCAUGGGAACGCUUCUCUCUAGGACAGCGGGUAAAAUAACACCGAACAUUAUUAACAUAAACACACCCACUCAAGCACACACACACAGAAAUCAGAAUCAAGAAACACUAGUGGAGCUCUAUGAAUGUCAUCCCAGGGCUACCACCACACAGAUCUCCAUUUCCCAUCUUCGAGUGUAUUUGUUCCUAGCCCUCUACCGUGGCCUCGUCUCAUUAGACGACUAAUUGCGUCAAACAACUCGUGUUUUUCCAGGAUCUGGCCAGAGAAAACAGAAGAGACGAGCCAUAGGAUCUGUGGAAACGCGACUCCAUUACCCUGGAUCACACGUUCAGGUGGUGGGACAAAUAACCCAGCUCUUAGGUCGUGACACACUUUGGAAGGACUCACCGUUUUUGUUUUAAGAGGGCCCUGUCAAUAUCUUUGUUGAGAGUCAGAGGUCAAGUUCUGAAGAUUAUUGGAUAUUAGUAUUUAAUUAUUCAGAUUAGGCAUUUUGUUUGUUUGUUUGUUUUGUCAGAAUAAUAUUAGAUCUACGUAUGUGUGUCUGCAAACGUGUGUGUGUACUUGUGUAUGAGUGUGUGUGUUUAUAUUUUACUGCGUAUGUGUGUACGUGAAGUGUAGUUCCAUAUAUGAGACAACAGUUCAAGAUUUUCAAUACAAAGCUUUGCUCGAGUGUUAGGGUGUACACUAUUCAUACGAUAGUAUUCAGUUCCAAUCCACUAUUUAUUAAAGACACAAAAGCAAUGCCUGGUGAGCCGUUGAAAUGUUCAACUCACGGACCACAGAAAAACUUGUCGAGUUUAUUGGAUGCCAUCCUCUCGUACAACGUGGCCAGAAAUUUCAAGGAGGCCAGAUAGCACAGAGCCAAGGGUCGAAUAUGACCGCAAGCUCGUAGUCUGUGUACCCCUGAGAUAUUUAAUAGCUUUUGUAGGAUUUACUGUUGUGUUUUCAUAAGUAAAGAAGCAAUGUAUAAAACUUAAAAAAAAAAAUAGAAA